rnacentral:rRNA from 1 species
GACGAACGCUGGCGGCGCGCUUAAAACAUGCAAGUCGAACGGAGUGAUUCAGACAGAAGUUUUCGGACGGAAGACUGAAUAACUUAGUGGCGGACGGGUGAGUAACACGUGAGGAACCUGCCUUUCAGAGGGGGAUAACGUUUGGAAUGACUGCUAAUACCGCAUAUGCCUAAGUAUCGCAUGAUACAAUAGGGAAAGGAGUAAUCCGCUGAUAGAUGGGCUUGCGUCUGAUUAGAUAGUUGGUGGGGUAAUGGCCUACCAAGUCAACGAUCAGUAGCCGGACUGAGAGGUUGAACGGCCACAUUGGGACUGAGAUACGGCCCAG